AUUUUGUUGAGCAUAAAUUAAAUUGAUAUGUGCACUUCAAUUUGUGUAAAAUGGAUUUGUAAUGUGGGGGCUUAUUUCAUAUAAAGAAAUCGGAGCACAACAUAAUUAUAAGUGUAACAAUGCUAUUCUCCUUGAAAUCAUCGACAAGAGGUCUGGUACAUAUUCAAACUUUUAAGUUUUGCAAAUUCUGAAUUUUAUGUUGAGUUUGUGAUUGUGUCGAAUUUGUACAUCAAGCCAAAGACGUAGUAGUGAUUUUAAUUAUAGUUUAAUUGAAAAAGAUAAACUUAAUUUUUCUCUUAGAUAUAUGGGAAUAUUGCGUUUAUCAAAAUUGUUUUGAG
rnacentral:lncRNA from 1 species